UUCAGAUCAUGACCAAGAUUUAAAGAAGUGGAGCAACACGCAAAGUGCAAGAAAAAGAAGAAACAAGAGAGAAUGAAGUUAAGGAAAAUUCAUGCAAAUAGAAUUGUAACCUUGUAAACUGCAAUUUUUUGGCUCCAAGUUGUAAUCGAUCUCCUUUAUACUCUGUUUUUCUGAUUUAUAGUGAAACGCAUCACCAAGAUUGGAUACAGGAAUACAAAUUGUGAUCUGAACCAAGAUAAAUUUCAUGUCUUCUUUUUCCUUGCUGUUUAUUGAUUUAUUUCCAGUCAUCUCUAAAAGAAUUGUUGUAUUCCAUAUCCAUUUAAUCUUGUCUGUUCCCCAAGCACUACACAUAUUCACCACAAAUUGAUAUCAAAGCCUCGGCCUUUGCUGGAUUUGGGUUCUCUCUUAAAGUUCUUGAUAUUCACCUAGAGUUCAUCAACUAUUUGAAAGAAGUCUUGUGAUGGCUAACGCUUCUACUAAACAUGAGAUAGAAAAUUUUGAUGGGACGAAUGAUUUUGGGCUGUGGAAGAUAAAGAUGCUUGCGCAUCUUGGGAAUCUUGGUCUGGACGAAACACUGGAAGGGGAGGCAAAAAUGUCUGCAACCUACAACGAGAAAAAGAAGGAUAUCAUGAAGCUAUGGCUUAAACUUGAGAGUCUUUACAUGACGAAAAUCUGCCCAAUCGUUUAUAUCUCAAGGCAAGAUUCUUUACAUUUAAAAUGCUUGAUGGUAAAAUCUUGCAAGAGCAUGUAGAUGAGUUUAACAAGCUCUGUUUAGAUUUAGAAAACGUUCAGGUGGAGUAUGAUGAUGAGGAUAAGGCUCCUGUACUAUUACAUUCACUACCAAAGUCCUAUGAAACCUUUGUAUAUAUCCUAAAACAUGGUAGAGAAACAAUUUCUCUAGAAGAUGUAGGUGCUCUGAAUUCCAAAGAACUACAGAGAAAGAGUAAGAGUUUUGAACAGUAAAGAGAUAGUUUAACAGUGCGCGGUAGAGCUGAAAAGAGAGACAAGAAGGUGAAAAUAAACAAUAGAUCAAAGUCUAAGAAUAGAAAGAAGAUCAGACGUUAUCCCUGUCAUGAAGAAAGUCACUUUAGAAUAUUUUUUCCUAGAAGAAAGAAAGGAGAAAAGAAGAUAGAAAUAGAGGAUGAUGCAACUCUAGUUAAGCAGAGCUAUGAAUGCUCAGACGUACUAGUUGUUACAACCAAGAGCUCUGACAAAAAGUGGGUUAUGGAUUCAGGAUGCUCAUUCCAUAUUACUCCUAAUCAAGGCUGGUUUAAGACAUACAAAAAGAUGGAUUGUAGACAAAUUCUACUGGGUAAUAACAAAGCUUGUAAAGUAAAUGAAAUUGGUACAAUGAGAUUAAAGACUGGUGAUGGAAUAGAAAGAAUUCUCAAUGAUGUUAGAUAUGUUCUUGAAAAGAACUCUUAUUUCACUGGGAAUGCUUGACCAAAAUGGCUAUUGCUAUAAGGGUGAGAAUGGUGAGCUCAAGGUGUUUAGAGGAUCUCUAGUUGUAAUGAAAGGUGUGAGAGAAAACGGUCUGUAUACUCUUCAAGGAAACAUAAUUACUGUUGUUGCUGCUACAGUAAUCGAGGUUGAUAGCUCUAGAAAUUAGUUAUGGCAUAGGAGACUUGGUCAUGUAAGCAAUAGAGGAUUGCACGAGUUUCAAAAAUAGGGUUUAUUUUGUAUUAACAAGUUGGGAAAGCUAGAGUUUGUGAAAAUUACAUCUAUGGAAAGGUACAAGGAUGAAAUUCACUAGGUCAGUGAAAGGAUACUCUGAGUUAUGUGCACUCUGACCUAUGGGGUCCAGCACAACAUGAGAUUAUAUGUGGGGCAGGUAUUUUAUCUCAUUCAUCGACAAUUGUUCUAGGAAAGUUUGGGUGUACAUCUUGAAAUCCAAGGGUGAAGUUUUAUAGAAGUUCAAAGCUUGGAAGAAGAUGGUGGAAGUUCAAACAGGGAAGAAAGUCGAGAAACUGAGAACGGAUAAUGGUUUGGAAUUUUUAAGUGAAGAAUUCAAUCAGUUUUGUAGGGAUGAAGGAAUGGUUAGACACAGAACAGUGACCCAUAUGCUACAGCAAAACGAUCUAGCAGAGAGGAUGAAUAGGACUCCGUUGGAGAGUAUUAGCUGCAUGUUGCUUAAUGCUAAUAUGCUAAAGAAGUUUUGGGAUAAAGCUGUGAAUACCGCUGCUUGUCUUAUUAAUAGAUGUCCUUUAGUAGCAAUUAACCUCAAGACUCCAAAAGAAAUCUGGACAGGAACUUCUCCAAUUUAUGAUGAGAACCUGAAGGUUUUCGAACGUGUCACCUACAUAUAUCACAAACAGGAAAAACUUGAUUUCAGGGCAAAGAAAUGCAUGUUUAUAGGUUAUCCUGGUGGAGAGAAGAGAUUCAAGCUCUGGUGUAAAGAGGGUAACUCCUCUAAGUGUUUCAUUAGUAGAGAUGUCAUCUUCAGGGAGCAGGAAUAUUAUUUGGUUGGUGAAAGUCUAUCUAUGGCAUCGACUGACAAUCAUGAGAGGAACAAUGCUAAGAUUGAGAUGGAGCAAGUUGAGUCUGGAGAUACUCAAACUGAAGCAAGUGGUAGUGCUAAUGAAUAUGAUCAACAUGAAUAGGAUGAUCUGAAAAAUGAACAUCAAAAUGAUUUGAGGUCAUAUCAGUUGAGCAGAGACAAAACUAGAAGACAUUGCAACGAUCCAGUGAGGUAUGGCUAUGAAAAUUUGAUAUCUUAUGCACUAUUUAUAGUUUACGAAAUGGAUGAUACAGAACCCAAUAGCUAUAGAGAAGCCGUCGGGUGUAAAGAUAGUAGAAAUUUGCUGUAGGCCAUAAGAGAAGAGAUGGAUUCUCUAGAAAAGAACAAUACACGGAUGCUUGUUGAAAAUCCUAGUAAUCAAAUAGUGGGUGGCUCUAAAUGGAUCUUCAAGAUGAAAGAAAGUAUGCUGGAAAGUAGCAAGCCUAGAUUCAAAGCGAGACUUGUAGCUAAGGGGUUUACGCAAAGAGAAGGUAUAUAUUUCAAUAAAAUCUAUUCACCUGUAGUGAAACAUUCAUCCAUUAGAGUGCUUCUAGCAUUAAUAGCUCAGUGUGAUAUGAAGUUAGAACAAAUAGAUGUGAAGACUGCGUUUCUUCAUGGCAACCUUGGAGAAAGGAUUUUGAUGGAGCGACCAGAGAGAUUCGUUCAGAAAAGAGAUGAAGAUAAAGCCUAUUUGUUGAAAAAGUCUCUAUAUGGGCUAAAACAAUCACCAAGGCAAUAGUAUUUGAGGUUUGAAGAAUACAAGAUGAGAAACAACUAUUCCAGGAGUAGCUAUGACAGUUGUAUAGAUGAAAAAUUAGGUAUUUUUCUAUUGUUGUCGGUUGAUGACAUGCUGAUUGCAUCAACGAAUAUGACUGAAAUACAAAAGUUGUGCAUAUACGGUACGAUGAGGUUGGUAUGUGCAUAUACG
rnacentral:lncRNA from 1 species